UAGGGAAUCUUCCACAAUGGACGCAAGUCUGAUGGAGCAACGCCGCGUGAGUGAAGAAGGUUUUCGGAUCGUAAAGCUCUGUUGGUGGUGAAGAAGGAUAGAGGCAGUAACUGGUCUUUAUUUGACGGUAAUCAACCAGACAGUCACGGCUAACUACGUGCCAGCAGCCGCGGUAAUACGUAGGUGGCAAGCGUUGUCCGGAUUUAUUGGGCGUAAAGCGAGCGCAGGCGGAAUGAUAAGUCUGAUGUGAAAGCCCACGGCUCAACCGUGGAACUGCAUCGGAAACUGUCAUUCUUGAGUGCAGAAGAGGAGAGUGGAAUUCCAUGUGUAGCGGUGGAAUGCGUAGAUAUAUGGAAGAACACCAGUGGCGAAGGCGGCUCUCUGGUCUGCAACUGACGCUGAGGCUCGAAAGCAUGGGUAGCGAACAGG
rnacentral:rRNA from 1 species